rnacentral:rRNA from 1 species
UGAACGCUGGCGGCGUGCCUAAUACAUGCAAGUCGAGCGAACGGACGAGAAGCUUGCUUCUCUGAUGUUAGCGGCGGACGGGUGAGUAACACGUGGAUAACCUACCUAUAAGACUGGGAUAACUUCGGGAAACCGGAGCUAAUACCGGAUGAUAUUUUGAACCGCAUGGUUCAAAAGUGAAAGACGGUCUUGCUGUCACUUAUAGAUGGAUCCGCGCUGCAUUAGCUAGUUGGUAAGGUAACGGCUUACCAAGGCAACGAUGCAUAGCCGACCUGAGAGGGUGAUCGGCCACACUGGAACUGAGACACGGUCCAGACUCCCACGGGAGUCAGCAGUAGGGAAUCUUCCGCAAUGGGCGAAAGCCUGACGGAGCAACGCCGCGUGAGUGAUGAAGGUCUUCGGAUCGUAAAACUCUGUUAUUAGGGAAGAACAUAUGUGUAAGUAACUGUGCACAUCUUGACGGUACCUAAUCAGAAAGCCACGGCUAACUACGUG